ACCUGUACAAGACCAUGAUUGGAAAGUGUGGGGACCAAGCACCCAGCGGCCAGAGAAACAUCAUGUGGACUGUUUCUGUCUUGGCUAAUCCUCAUCAGUGCUUUGAGCUGCAGGAAGUCAUGAGAACCAAGGCAACACAGGUGCAUCACCAGGGAUUUGCUCUUCUCCUGGUCUGCUCUUGAAGCACAGCACGAAGUUUCAUCCUUUGCUUCUGCAGCAAGUUCUUGUUACCCAGUUCCCGCUGACAAUGAGGGAAGAGGCACAAGUCAGCUCAGAAAAUGAACGACUAGAAGACUGUGUGGUCUCAGUGAUAUUGUACCAUCCUGGUUCCUGCUUUCAGGCUGGAGUCACAAGCUGGACUUGGAAGAAGCAACUUUCGGGCAGAGAUGUAACUGCAGAGUUAAUACUAUGCCAGGGUCUUGGGUUAUCUCAUGCAACCUUUCUGUGUUGACUGCUCUGUGUUAGUUUUGCUCAGACAGAAGGUAGAGGUAAUGGAUAAUUUCUUUAUGGAUGAAAGCAACAAAGUUUCCUGAUGUCUAGUAACUACUCAAUACCAGCAACUUACACAUCCCUCUGUGCUACUACUAUUGCUUUGAAGCAAUUUAUUUAGUCACUUGGACUUUAACUACUCAGAUGCAUUCCUUCCUGCUGCAGCAGCAGGGAUACAGGAAGGGGUGUUUGAAACCACGCGGUGAUUUCCACCCUGGAUUUCAUGAGGGGUUAUUCUUGUCUCAGAGAUGACGCAUUCAAAUAUCCUUCUACAGAUUCCAGCCCACAGGUGCUCCUCAGCUCUGCCUUGGGAUGACACCAUGAAGCAAUGAGGUGACAAACCGGUUUCCUUUCUCAAGCCAAAUGUCACGUAACUGCCCAGGGGCCCGUUUUGGUGGGGGUUGCACCCCCUGACUUUUCAAGGAGAGAUAUGCUACUGUGACCCAUCCCCACCCUGUACACCUUGCUGAAGGAGAUAAAACUGCUCACUUCCACCUCUGACAUUUCUCAGCCAGGAAGAAAGGCAGGAGGCAUCAGGCUGUAGGGAGGUAUCUGAGCAGCCACCUGACAUGCUGACAAAGA